AACGCCCUCCGCAGUAGGAUCAUUUCUAUAGUUUACGUCCCUCUUUGACUCUUCUAAAGAGCCACUGAAUCCAACUUGGUUGAUGAGCUGCAGCCUUUGUGCCCUAGAGUGAGACUAGUAUUUAGCUUGUCCAUAACACUAGCUGUUUGGUCAUCUAUUUCUGUUUUGCCUUUUUUCUUACGACUUGGCUCUGAAGUCCUCCUUAUCCACCCCUGGGUGGUUGGGAGUUGUUCUCUGACUUGUUUUAAAAAGGAGCGAUGAUCUCUACCCUGUGUGCUACUCUUCCUUCGGGAUGGUGCCAUAUGGGUGGGCGCAAAUGGCAAUCUGACAAGU
rfam:Cyberlindnera jadinii NRRL Y-1542 unplaced genomic scaffold CYBJAscaffold_3, whole genome shotgun sequence.